CUGGUACUAUGCCUCCCAGGGGUACGGUAUACCCUCUAUCCACCAAGGAAAACUUAGUUUUAGAGGAAUAUAUCAAGGAGAAUUUAGACAAAGGAUUUAUUAGAAAGUCUUCUUCUCCGGCGGGGGCGGGUUUCUUUUUUGUAGAAAAGAAAGACGGUACCUUACGUCCUUGUAUAGACUAUCGGGGAUUGAACAGAAUUACUAUCAGGAAUGCUUACCCUAUUCCUUUGAUUACUGAACUCUUUGACAGACUAAAGGGCUCGAGUAUUUUUACCAAGCUUGACUUGAGAGGAGCAUAUAACUUGGUGCGAAUUAAACAAGGAGAUGAAUGGAUGACAGCAUUUAAUACCCGUUACGGGCAUUAUGAGUAUACCGUAAUGCCGUUUGGGCUUUGUAACGCCCCGGCCGUCUUCCAAGACUUAAUCAAUGAGGUUCUUAGAGAAUUCCAACAUGAAUGUGUAAUUGUAUAUUUGGAUGAUAUACUAAUCCAUUCUAGAGACAUUAAUUCACAUCAUAGACAAGUCAGAAAGGUAUUACAG